GUCCAGGGGUUGGAAUCGAACCCACAAUGUUCCGCUUACCGGGCAGAUGCCAUGUCCACUAGGCUACCCUGGA
rnacentral:tRNA from 1 species